GCCGCCUUAGCUCAGUUGGUAGAGCAACUGAUUUGUAAUCAGUAGGUCGUUGGUUCGAAUCCGAUAGGCGGCU
rnacentral:tRNA from 1 species